rnacentral:lncRNA from 1 species
CCAGCCUCCACAUUGUACAGAUUUGGAAACUGAGGCCAAGAGAGACCAAACCCUUUGCCCAGGUGGACACAGCUAGUAAGUGGUCUUCCUGUCACCAAGGCCAGCUCCCUGCCUGCCCACUCCACUCACAGCCUCUCACUAGUUCGGGGCUCCGCAUCUCUAAAAUGGGGGAGGGGCAAGAUGAAAGCAAAGCUCCUCCAUUCUAGGACUCUUCUCCCAAGAGACAGUUGCAGGCUACCAGCUGGGCUGCAGCGCCGUCCUCUCCCCACCCCCUCUCCUAGCGACACAACCCCGGUCUCCUUACGGAAGAUGUGUUGUACGUUUGAGAGGCAGAAGCUGGCCCCUUUGCAGGAUGGCCUCACUGGGCUGACCAUCCCAGGAAACUAGGCACCUGCUCACAAGACCCCCAAAGCCAGAGUCUUGGCAGUCGGGGAGCUGGGCUCCCUUCCGAGCACUGCCACCAAUUAGCUAACAAACAGGCGCAGGUCGCUUCCCCUCCUGAGCCUCGGAUCUCUCGGGAGCCCCAAGCAGAGAGAGCCCAGCCUCACACCCAAGGCGCAGCAUUUCGAGCUACAAAGGAGAGGUAGACUGAGGCCUGCCAUCCGGAAAGUGCCUUUCUACGAACUGUUGGGGCUGGAAGGGAUCCUGGAGAGCCACUCAUCUAGCAGACCGGGAAACUGAGGCUGCCAGGUGCAGCGACUUGUUCACCGCUGGGGCGGCCCAGUGCUUCGGCCCGCCCCCGGCAAAGGCCACGCCAGGAGGAAACUGAGGCAGCCCGUUCCAGUCGGGGACCGAAGAGGAUGGGAUGAUCCGAACCCUUUUCUGGGCCCUCGGGACUGCCCUUCGGGGCGAUCAGAACAGAGCAUCUAUCCGAGCGCCGGCGGCCAGAGCGAAUGGAGCUCCCAGAGGGAGAUGCAGGGUCCCCCCGCUGAAACGACUGCCACUGGACCGCAGCAGGAGGAAGGACUUCUGCUGGACCCCCAGCUCCCUCCCUUCAAAGCUCCACUCCUAACUGACCCAACGUUAGCGCCCCCCCCCACUUCUGCCUGCCUUCAAAUCCCACCCGUGGCACCUGUGUGUGACCUUGGGGGUGCCCUGACACCACCUGGGGCCUCCCUGUCCUCUUCUGUACCAUGAUUGGCCUCCGGGAUUCCUUCCAGGGCCAGAUCUAGGAUCCUAUCUCUGUCCGCUCCUGGCUUCCCUGGCCCUCCCAUGAAUGUAAGCCUUUGAGGUCAGGGACAGUUUUUAACUGUAUCCUCAACACUUUGAUUUUUGCAUAGUAGGUGUGAACUAACCAAUAAUUAUUCCUUAAAUCAAUCAAGGAGGGAACUUUGUUUAGAGCCUUAGAGAGCCAGCUUCCAGGGUGUCACUGGUGAUACAGAGUGACUAGGAUCUGAUCCCUGGCAAGUCACCCACUGGGUGUCCACCUGCAUUCACAGAAGUAGUUUCCCAUCUGGACAUUCCCUAUAUCAACCAAAUCACAGGUCCAGUCUGCACCCUCUCGAUCAACAAUACGCACUAUGUACCAGGCACUGUCCUAUGCCCUGGGGAUACAGAGACACACAAGAGACAGUGUCUGCCCCCCAGAAGCUUACAGUGUAACCAAGGAAGCCAACAUGGAAUCAGCUUUAUCCCCCCACCACCCCCUGCUAAGCCUAUCUCAGCACAGAGCAUGCUAGAAGAGUUUCAUAAUUUUCAGUGGCUACAUAGGGGUCUAUAGACAUAUACACACAAUAGAUACAAGAAGACAAUAUAUAAAUAUACAGCUCUGUGUGUGUAUGCACACAUACAUACACACACUCACACACACACACACACACACACACACACAUACUCAUAAUAGAUAAUAGAUACAAAGUGGUUUGGGGAGGUUGGCAGGGUCAGGAAAUCAGCUGUGGCUUCGUGUCCAACAUGCACUUUAGUUGAACCUGGAAGGAAACUACAGAUUCUGAGUGACUGAGAUGAGUGGGAAGGGCAUUCCUGGCAUGAGAAACAGGCAGUACAAAGACCUGGAGGUGGGAGAUGGAACAUCCUGCAUGGGGAACAGCCAGUAAUACAUCAAAUUGAAAUGGUAGGUUGGGGCUGGGCAGUGAAAGGAGGUGAAAUCUAAACAGAGGCGCUUGCUUAUAUUUGAUUC